UGAAAAACUUCAUUAUAUUGCCAUGGUCAU
rnacentral:piRNA from 1 species